AAUCUUUGGAUCCAGUGCAUUUAACCGACAAAGUCUUUCAUCUUUUGCUAAAGAAAUCCGUGCGCUGGAGCAAUUAUAAGUGUUUUUGCCAAUUUUUGGAAUGCCAUCGAAGAGUGAAUU
rnacentral:snRNA from 1 species